rnacentral:misc_RNA from 1 species
UCCUGACCAGAUGGAGGAUGC